rnacentral:rRNA from 1 species
ACGGGAGGCAGCAGUGGGGGAUGUUGCACAAUGGGGGAAACCCUGAUGCAGCGACGCCGCGUGAGUGAUGAAGUAUUUCGGUAUGUAAAGCUCUAUCAGCAGGGAAGAUAAUGACGGUACCUGACUAAGAAGCACCGGCUAAAUACGUGCCAGCAGCCGCGGUAACACGUAUGGUGCAAGCGUUAUCCGGAUUUACUGGGUGUAAAGGGAGCGUAGACGGCAAGGCAAGCCAGAUGUGAAAGGCUGGGGCUCAACCCCGGGACUGCAUUUGGAACUGUCUAGCUAGAGUAUCGGAGAGGUAAGCGGAAUUCCUAGUGUAGCGGUGAAAUGCGUAGAUAUUAGGAGGAACACCAGUGGCGAAGGCGGCUUACUGGACGAUAACUGACGUUGAGGCUCGAAAGCGUGGGGAGCAAACAGGAUUAGAUACCCUGGUA